UACGUAGGAGGCAAGCGUUGUCCGGAAUCAUUGGGCGUAAAGAGCGCGUAGGCGGCCCGAUAAGUCCGCUGUGAAAGUCAAGGGCUCAACCCUUGAAUGCCGGUGGAUACUGUCGGGCUAGAGUCCGGAAGAGGCGAGUGGAAUUCCUGGUGUAGCGGUGAAAUGCGCAGAUAUCGGGAGGAACACCAAUGGCGAAGGCAGCUCGCUGGGACGGUACUGACGCUGAGACGCGAAAGCGUGGGGAGCAAACAGG
rnacentral:rRNA from 1 species